AACGAACGCUGGCGGCGUGCUUAAUACAUGCAAGUCGAGCGAGAACCGGAGCUUCGGCUCCGGGGACAGCGGCGAACGGGUGAGUAACACGUGGGUAACCUGCCCUCGGCACCGGGAUAGCCCGGGGAAACCCGGAUUAAUACCGGAUGGCCCUUUCGGUCUUCGGACCGGUCGGCAAAGGUAGCUUCGGCCUCCGGCCGAGGAUGGGCCCGCGGCGGAUUAGCUUGUUGGUGAGGUAACGGCUCACCAAGGCUCCGAUCCGUAGCUGGUCUGAGAGGACGGUCAGCCACACUGGGGCUGAGACACGGCCCAGACUCCUACGGGAGGCAGCAGUAGGGAAUCUUGCGCAAUGGGCGAAAGCCUGACGCAGCGACGCCGCGUGCGGGAAGACGGCCUUCGGGUUGUAAACCGCUUUCAGGAGGGAUGAAGCCACUCGGGUGAAUAGCCCAGAGGGUGACGGUACCUCCAGAAGAAGCCCCGGCUAACUACGUGCCAGCAGCCGCCGUAACAC
rnacentral:rRNA from 1 species